GUCAGUUUAACAAAAGCUAGAGUUAAUUACAUGUUAGGAAAUGGAAAAAUAAAAGAAAUCAGAUAGUGAAGUGAGAGGUAUCGAAAGGCAUAUUUUCUGUAGUGAAUUUUGGAGAUUAAAGGAUUCCCUCGAAGAACCAUAUUGACAAUACAAUUCUCAGGCUCUUGAGCCAUUUUAUCAAAUAUCUUGUGUGCAUCCCCUUGCUUGUCAUUUGCAGGAGCAUUUCCAUCACUCUGGCCAACUUGUUACAAACAGAUUACACAGGUUAUAUCGGAUUUCUUUGACGCUUAAGUUAUGCAGAGAAGCAAGUGGACGACUACCAGUCCAGAUUGAAGGCUUUGGAGGAGAAUUUUAGCAAAGUUGACUUGCUUAAAUCCUGGAAGGAGAUUUUACCUAUCCAAAGUAUAAUACGGGAGAUCCGAUAUGUGAAUUCUUUGUAUGGACAGAUAUACUUCAGUUGCUAGAAGAGAACAUUUUAUCAAGAGAGAAAUAAGGCUUGGAAAAUGCGGGAUGAUGUAUUAAAGCGCGAGUAUGCCGUUCGCAAAAGGGAAGAUAAAGUGAGAGAGAUGGCGAAAAAUCUGAAAAAUGAAAAGCAAAAGUUAUUAUGUUUGUAUUGUGUUGUCACCUUUGUAAUAAUUUUUGCUUGGUUCGGAUAAAUUUCAUGUAAAAAGUCCUUUCGUUGGAUUAGAUCAUUAAUUGUAGAGGUUCAUUU